AUCAGUCCAAGGACAUUACUCUGGAGGCGAAGAGGCUGGGACUCGCGCGGCGAGCGGCAAGCGGCGAGUACCGAGCCUGCCUACUGCCCGCUGCCCGCCGGCCGGCCGCUAGCCGGUUCCGCCACUAGGCGCAGCCCAGCCCAGAGGCGGGUACCCAGGGAGCCUCCUGGCCCUGCGGUUCUGUGCACUCGGAGAGAGGAGGGGUGCCCGGGACAGGAUUGGCAAACUCCGCCCUCUACUUACUAUUUUGCUUAUUUUUCUUUGUGCGCGCCUGUUAGUUUGUUAAACCAGAUCUAGUCCCAGAGUCUUUUCUCCUCCCUCCUCCCCCCCCCAACACCCCCUCCCUGCUCUUUCUUCCCCUCCUCCCUCCUACCCCUCUGCAGGAGACUCGCAGUGACGGAAAGUUGCAGCCCCUGGUAGCGCCUUGGGGGUCUCCCGGCAGUGUCCAACCGCCGCCACCCCUUUCCGACUACGGCACUUCGGAGAUCUCCUCCUUCACCGAUACCCUCUCUCAUUUCGGCCGGAUCGCCUGUGCCCAGAACGUCCCACCCAUGACGAUGCUCCUGGACGGAGGCCCGCAGUUCCCUGGGCUGGGAGUGGGCAGCUUCGGCGCGCCGCGCCACCACGAGAUGCCCAACCGUGAGCCGGCAGGCAUGGGGCUGAAUCCCUUCGGGGACACAACCCACGCCGCCGCCGCUGCCGCCGCCGCUGCCUUCAAGCUGAGCCCUGCCGCGGCGCACGAUCUAUCUUCAGGCCAGAGCUCGGCUUUCACGCCGCAGGGUUCGGGCUACGCCAACGCCCUGGGCCACCAUCACCACCACCACCACCAUCAUCACCACGCCAGCCAGGUGCCCAGCUACGGCGGCGCUGCCUCUGCCGCCUUCAACUCAACGCGCGACUUUCUGUUCCGCCAGCGCAGCUCCGGGCUCAGUGAGGCGGCCUCGGGUGGCGGGCAGCACGGGCUCUUCGCCGGCUCGGCGAGCAGCCUGCAUGCUCCACCUGGCAUCCCCGAGCCCCCUGGCUACUUGCUCUUUCCUGGGCUGCAUGAGCAGGGCGCUGGGCACCCGUCGCCCACAGGGCACGUGGACAACAACCAGGUCCACCUGGGGCUGCGUGGGGAGCUGUUCGGCCGUGCUGACCCAUACCGCCCAGUGGCCAGCCCGCGCACGGACCCCUACGCGGCCGGCGCGCAGUUUCCUAACUACAGCCCCAUGAACAUGAACAUGGGCGUGAACGUGGCGGCCCACCACGGGCCCGGCGCCUUCUUCCGUUAUAUGCGGCAGCCCAUCAAGCAGGAGCUGUCGUGCAAGUGGAUCGACGAGGCUCAGCUGAGCCGGCCCAAGAAAAGCUGCGACCGGACCUUCAGCACCAUGCAUGAGCUGGUGACACAUGUCACCAUGGAGCAUGUGGGGGGCCCGGAGCAGAACAACCACGUCUGCUACUGGGAGGAGUGCCCCCGGGAGGGCAAGUCUUUCAAGGCGAAGUACAAACUGGUCAACCACAUCCGAGUGCACACGGGCGAGAAGCCCUUCCCAUGCCCCUUCCCGGGCUGCGGGAAGAUCUUUGCCCGUUCUGAGAACCUCAAGAUCCAUAAGAGAACCCACACAGGUGAGAAACCUUUCAAAUGUGAAUUUGAAGGCUGUGACAGACGCUUUGCCAACAGCAGCGACCGUAAGAAGCACAUGCAUGUGCAUACCUCGGACAAGCCCUAUAUCUGCAAAGUGUGCGACAAGUCCUACACGCACCCGAGCUCCCUGCGCAAACACAUGAAGGUUCAUGAAUCUCAAGGGUCAGAUUCCUCCCCUGCUGCCAGUUCAGGCUAUGAAUCUUCCACUCCACCCGCUAUAGCUUCUGCAAACAGUAAAGAUACCACUAAAACCCCUUCUGCAGUUCAAACUAGCACCAGCCACAACCCUGGACUUCCUCCUAAUUUUAACGAAUGGUACGUCUGAGGACAAACACAAACCCUGUUAACUAUAGAAUGGACCAAAUGCAUUUUUAAAAGAAAACUGAGACCAAUCAGAUGGAAAUGGAGUUUUAAGGCAAGAGGCCAUAUAUAGGGCUACAUCUUGUUAAUUGCAAUUGUCCAGGAAGGUUUUGGGCAAGAUCCAAAAGUAGCCAUGCCCUUUUCUCAGGAUUAGAAAAUAUGUUUUGGCAUUUGAAGCAUUUUUUACAAAAUCUUUACACUGCUUUUUCUUCCCCUUCCUCUUGCUGUCUGCGACACCCCAUUCUUAAACUCCUGCAAUUCAUUUUAACAGUUGUCCUGUUUCUCGAGAGGAAGUUAUAGAAGGCUUGUUGGUGGUGGUGAUGUUAAACUGAUGGAAAUUCUUUUUCGCCUUAGUGGUGAUUGUUUAAACUCUCACAGUCUUAAACCGUGCCAAAGUCCUGUUAUGUCUUGAACUUUUCCUCAAAGCAUUACACUUGUGAAUGUAUUUUUGUCUAAUAGGGUCGAAACUGUUGUUCAGUAUUUUUUUCAGGCUGAGGAUGUGAUGUUACUCUACACAGAUUGUGACGUUUAGUAUACAGUUGCCUUUUGUAAUAACUUUUUUUUUUGUAAAUACAUAUCCAUUGAUGCCAUAUUUAUCGUUUGUAAUUUAAUUAUUGCUACAAGUGCCGGGAACUGAACAAUAUUUAUGGAUAAAUGUUUUCUAACAAGUUCUGUACAGCUUUUGAUUAUAACUGCUUUAGCAUUAAAAUUUUAUUGUUUUGAAAGAAGAACACAAUUUACAAUUUUGGAACCACUGACUCCUUUCUCUUGUUUUGUAACAGCCUUCUACAAAGAGGAGAUGUGAGCAAAUUAAAUCUUGUUUGUUGGUAUUUAUAACUCACUCAGAUCCCUUUUUUAAUUGUUAAAUUAUUUUUCUAUUACAGUAUAAAUUCCUUACAGUGUCAGUUUCCAUCUGGGAAGACUCUCCUUUCCUUAUCUCUAUCUCAGAUGGUUGUUUAACUGCGAGUUUAAAUGUGUUUGUCCUGGAUUUUCGGCAUGCAAAUCAAAUAUUACUGAUCAAUUCAGUUAGUGGCCAUGACAUCUCAAUCUUGUACUUCAAAGACUGAGAAGCUGGAUUUAAUCAUCCCUGCCCUACAUAUAUAAACAUAAGGUAACCUAAUGAAUUUUAUGUCCCUUAGUUCUUUAUUACCUUACAUAAAAAUGAAAAUUGCGGCAGGAUGCAUGUCUGUGUUUUCUAUCUAGAGAUCACCCAUAUACCUAUAUAUGUUUGUAUCUAUGACUUAUCUAAUCUGUCUAUCAAUCUAUCUAGUAGCUAUCUAUAUAUUUUCAAAAGAUAGCUUAUGUCUGAAACAGUGGUGAUGAGUAAGGCCAGUUGAGCAUUGCUUACUUAUGGUUAAAGUGCUUCUUAAAAGAACCAUAGUCCAUUUACAAUUUUGGAAGGCAAAGGCUGAUUUGUUUGCUGUAUAUAGUUCAUAAUUAUCGCAAUUAUCCAUAACAUUUAUAUAGCGGUGUAAUAACUGCAGCAGUUCUGAAAUGAUGCUAUGGAAAAAAAUUGCAAAAUAUGUAUUUUUAAAGUUCAUGAUUUGUAGGCAAAGAUGUUAAGAGCAUUGUUUCCAUUAAAAUCAAUAACAAUGAAAAACGGUUGUUUGCUUUGUGAUGAAAUGUUAACAAUCCAUUUAAUCUUCAGUGAAGCAACUCCUUUGGACAAACAGUUCUUUUACAAUGGUUAUAUGGAAAAGAAAUUGAUUGCUAUUUGGGGGGGCUGGAGUGGGUAGAGUAUUGAGACCUUUUUUAUUAGGGUGCUGUUUGUUAUUGAGCCCAAUCUCUGCAUGAAUAACAGAAAGGUGGAGAUAAGGAAUUGUAAAGUAUUUAGAAAUGUAUUGAAUAGGCUUAAGUACCUCCUUUAAGGGGCAAUGCUCUAGGUUUUUGGUGGCAGUCAAUUUGGUAUUAUAUAUGAUCAUUUUCAAUUCUAGAAUUUUGUUUAUUGUUCUUUUUGAAGAAAUAAAGUCUUGGCACAUCUUAUUUAUGUUAUAACAUUUUUGUAUUUGGUGCCUGAUUUUUUUUCAUGUUCAAAUAAAUCAAUCUGAAAUUGAAAUGUUUAUAGAACUUCUGAUGAUUAAAAGAAACUUUGAUUCUGUGAAUUCACGCAGUUGAAGCAAUCUAUUUUAAGUUAUCUACUGAUCUUUGUCAACAGACAAUUAUUGACAGUUUCUAAUUGCAAAUUGCUUUGGAGGCUAUUUUUUGUUAGUGGAGAAUAAUGGGGUCUUUUGCAUUUUCUUCCACCAAUAUCCAAGCCUGAAUGCCAUGAACGGAGAUUGGGAUGACUCCACAUGUGACGAGCAGGUAACCUGGUCAGUCUAUCACUCCCAACCCAGACAUUCCGAUCUUGACCUUGACAUUGAGGGUGCUGGACCAGAUUCCUAUUUCAGGUUUUUUCCUUCACCUCAAACCAGAGACCAUUUUAAAUGCUCAGCAAGUUCUCAGAAAGUAUAUAUUCAUAAGACUGGCUCUAAGUGUGUUCCAUUGUGAAGUCUAAAUAGUAUAUUUUUCUUCUGAACUGUACAAUGAAUUUCCAUAAUUUAUCACUUUCUCCAUGAGUUCCCUCCCCCACCCUCAAUCUAACCUAACUUUAAAUGGAAGUAGAGCCCUGUGUUGGGUACAAGAUUCCACCAAAAAUUUGCCUCCGUUUCAAUUAAAUGUAUUAAAUAUCUCCUUAAGAGAGAAAGAGCAGUUUGACCUUUUCUUACUUGAAAUUAUUCCACCAUAAAAUUUUACAGGAAAGUAUUCUGAGUGUCCUAAAAGGGGAAGAUAUCAAUUAAAUGAAAAACAAUUAUGAUAACCAAUAUUAGGAGAAUAUCAAGUUUUGCCCGUGUAGAUCAUUACAUCUAAUUUGGGUAUAGCAUCAUAUUUCUCAAAAUCAUGUCCUCCACCCUUGUCAUUUGCGGUAAAGAAAACUCCUUAUUUUGAUAGAAAACUUUUCACAGAUUUCCCCUCUAUAAUCUGGCUCUGGGAGUGCACAAUUACAUUCUUGAAUAUUCAGUAAACAACCUUAGAGAGUAAGUACCCCCCCCCCCCAAAAAAAAGAACUCAUAAAUGCUCAAGCCCGAGGCAUGGGCCAGACUCUUAGUAUAAAUCAACUUGUUACUUUUCCUCUUGCACCUUGUAAGAUCUUUGUUGAAAGUCCCUUUUUCAAAAUGAGUGAUUUUGCAUAAGAAGAUUUCCACUGUUAGGCAAAAGGGAGGUGGCUAUUUCCAUGCAAGACAGAAGUUUGGCCUUCAUCCAGCUUCGGAAGGUUAAAGAUCAGGACAGGGUCCACGCUAAGCAGGCCGGUCGAUCUAAAUUACUAAAGUUGGACAUGAGUGAGCAGAGACCUCCACUCACAAAGCCUCCCAGGAAAAGUUGGAGUGUUCAGGACUUCCUCGCUCCUCCCCCUCCUCCCUUCUCCCAGCCUGAUGUCUCUGCCUCUUCGCCCUGGCUCUCUCUCCCCCUUCAAAAAAGCUCCCUAAAACAGAGGAGCAAAGUCGAAGGGCCUCUUAACAUGUAAGUUUGUGGAAGAAUCGCCAGCAGCCUGCCCAUCGCCUGAAGAGAUUUUCCUGGCACCUAGACUGGUUUCCUCUCACAGGUUUCUGUCCCUCGAGUCCCAAGCCUCCAGUGGAUCCUUGGCCCGGGCCGGGGCAGAGGCGGCGAGGCCAGGCGUUUCGGAAGUCGGGGCUCCAGCUCAGCUGUCCUCGGGCCCCUCGCGGGGGCUCCCAGGGUCCCUGUCCACACACCAAGUUCUUGCAAGUCUCUGUCGAGGCUCGGGCGGGGGGAAGGGACCUCAUUUCCUAGGGUCAAUUCUCUCGCGGUCUCUGCCCGCUGACCCUUUGACCUCCACCUACAGGGCCCUUGGCGGCCGUAAGCCGGCGGUCGCCCAGGCUCUGAGGACGCUUCGCGCCCCAUCGCCUCCCGGCCUCAUUAGGCCGGCGGGGCUGUAAAGCAGGAAUCAGCCUCUGCCUAAUCCGGACCUGGGGUCAAUACGAGCCCAAACAAUGGAAAAUAAACGGCUCGAACUCUUCCAGGUUGCGUCUUCGUGGAGACCAACGGCCAAACGGAAAAGUCAGCCCUCUUGGGGUUGUCCAGUGUCACGCAUUUGGCUCCUGAAGUGCACAAAGAAGACGGCUUUGGAGCAAGAAUUUGGAAUAUGCAUUUAAGUUGUCGUGCUUUGCAUUGGAAACCCAUGGGCAAUUAAAAUAAGCAUGCCCUGUAGUAUUUUCUGUCCUUUUCUUAUGUGUGAUUCCUGCAAGUCAGAGGGGGCCGGAGCCUCUUCAGUAGUUUGGAAACUUGUUUUGAAAUUGCCACCAAGCCGAUUUUUUUUUUUUUUUUUUUUUUUUUCCUGUGGGUGAAGUUUCCUUCCCCGGUUCACUCACUCCCCCUUUCCCCACCCCCUCACUGGAAUUGUAUUGACAUCUUUGAGAGAUCAAAGGAAGUAAAUGGUGCUUGCUGUAUGCUCUGUUUUUCCAUACUGUAGUGUGAAUCCUGAGAUUUGAGCUUUUUUCUGGUUAAAUCUCUUGGUACCAAAAGUGUGGAAAAUAAAAAGUUCAUUAACUUAAGGAAGCUUUAGCCAAUGGUUAGACGGGGUUUGUCCCUUUAAGAGCUACAGAGCCCAGAUUGUCUCUUAAAUUGACUUUAAAGUUGAGCUAAGAUGCAUUGGUGGACUGUUUCCCCUGGAUACCUGCGGUGUUCUUUGGGUCAUUUGAUAUGGUAAAACCGGUUGAUUUUCAUAGGAGUUAUGUGAAUGGAAUUUCUGCAAAACCGGGCUAGUGAUAAAUUGAUAGAGCUCUUAUAUUUGUUUGGAUGACGACUCCAAAGGGCACUGCUUUUUUACCGAGGUUUGGUUCUAUCAUAACCAUUGAAAUUUACAGCUUGGAAAACACUAACUUUGCUGGAAGCAUUUGAAGCGGGGAGUGUUCAGAGUACUUGGACUAAUGGUAACUUAACAGAGGAACAUAAAUCCUUUGAAUAUUAGAGAAACUCGUUUCAAAAAAUCUGUUGAAACUGAAGCAAAUCUCUUUCAUUAACAUUUAACAAACCAAGCAGUUUUGUAUAUUUUUAAUCUGAUGACAGUUCAACCUAUUUACAAAUCUGAUGAAUGGAGAGAAAUGUAAGCUUUAUAGUAACUAUAACAAUAGCUUUCACCAGAUGGUAUAAUGUUUGAUCUCUAAUAGGGUGUGUGUCUUGUGUCAUAUGUUUUAUUAAAAUACAACCUGCGUCAACACCAUUUGAAUUUGAGGUGUUAAAAAUAAAACAUUCCAUCGUGUUUUAUUAUAAACCAGAGUUUAAAACAACAUAUCCAUGUAACAUUUUAUGACAUUUUUUCUAAGAGGAAAUGUGGCCUGUUUUGACCUAUCUGCAGUUCACUUUUUGUUUUUUUGCCAGUGUUGUCCUGCUUGGUAUCCGGGACAGUCUCUAAUUCCUGACGAAGAACUUGAUACUGACGUUGGUAUGCAGCAGCCAGCCCUCCAUAACACUACCUAUCCUAAAUGCAGGGUUAAUGCCGAACCUACUGUGCAAGAAAUGAUUUACUGAUGAGGUUUCAAAGAAAACCACAUUAAUUUGGAUGUCUGUUACCUUGAAGUGAUCAUUUUAAGAGUAGUAGCUUCUUCCCUAGGUAUAAAAAGACUAUUUUCUUCUUUUGGUGUAUUUCAUCCUGUGUUGAGCAAUCAUUUGUGAAAUGAAAAAGCAAAAAAACUCCCCCCAAUUUAGGAUUUAUAAAUGGGAAGAUGGAGGUGAAGUCUGGCCUAAUUCAUAACCCAGUAUGCAUUAUCUCAUACAUUGUGUUGACCUUGUUGAAAAUCUUUUUCAAAUAUCAGCAUUCUAUAUGUAGAACUAAAGUGUUUAAAACUAGAAACAUUAAUUGUUGUUUUGUUAAUUUCAUGUUUGUGUUCAGAAAGCAAUACCCAGGAUCCCUUCAAUUUUUGUUGGACUUAAAUAAAACCAUUUAAAUUAU